rnacentral:rRNA from 1 species
GAUUAACGCUGGCGGCGUGCCUAACACAUGCAAGUCGAACGGACCUUUAUUUUUGAGACUUUCCAUUUCCUUGGAGCGUCCCAUAAAUAAUGGUUAGUGGCGGACGGGUGAGUAACACGUUGGUACCUGCCCUCUAGUGGGGGAGUAAUCCGCCGAAAGGCGGACUAAUACCGCAUGUGAUCUACGGAUCAAAGCAGCAAUGCGCUAGAGGGAGGGGCCUGCGGCUGAUUAGCUUGUUGGUAGGGUAAUGGCCUACCAAGGCGACGAUCAGUAGCUGGAUCGAGAGGUUGACCAGCCACACUGGGACUGAGACACGGCCCAGACUCCUACGGGAGGCAGCAGUGGGGAAUAUUGGACAAUGGGCGAAAGCCUGAUCCAGCAAUGCCGCGUGAGUGAUGAAGGCCUUAGGGUUGUAAAGCUCUUUUGUGCGGGAAGAUAAUGACGGUACCGCAAGAAUAAGCCCCGGCUAACUUCGUGCCAGCAGCCGCUGU